CUGAGCAGUUUCACUCUUGCCUUCAACUAGAGAAUGAACCAUCACAGCCCUUCAUCAUCUUCCUCUAAAGCAUCAAGAAGAGCCUUGGACUAGCUGAGAAUUAGUACUUCCUUCAUCUCAAGGGUCUGUGAUAUGGCAGCUCAGUGCAUCCCCAAAGGCCAACCACUCAGUCUGAAUGACCGUCCUUCAGUUGGCAGGGCGCUCAGCUCUGCCCACUAAACCCCCACUUUGGAAUCCGUGAACCACUCCUGGCACCAACCAAGGUGCCCCAGCAGAUUUCCAAGGCACUGGCUCCAACACUGAGAACUCAAACCUGGGGGGUGAAGGAAGAGGACUGGCAAAGGAUGGAGUCGAGCUGAGCUGCUGUCACAACAAGGACCAAGGAUGACCUCACAGGCGUUCAGGAAAGGCUCCUCCAAGGCAAAGCUCUCCAUCAACCAGUCAAGGAUGUGGCUGCCCCUGGGGAGGGGAGGAGACCAUCUUCCUGAGAGCAACUGCUGGGGAGUUCUCUUGAGCCUUUCUCUCCUGCAGUCACCUUGGAUUUCAGGAACAAGAAGUCUUAUGACAAGAGUCAAAACUAUGCCCUAGGCAAGAUCAACUUUCUUAACCUGACAAGACCUGACAAAUCCUGAGAUAAGGAUGGACAGACCACCCCUAUCAAGAGCACCUGUGCUGGCAGCUGUGCAAACCCUCCAGCCCUUGCCCUCACUUCCCUUCCUAGAAAAACCUCAAAGUCAAUGUUAACCCUUCAAAGGCAGAUAACCCUGUCCUCCUGGUAGACCUACAUUGAUUAAAACUUCUUUCCCGCCGUUC